UACAGAGGUGGCAAGCGUUGUUCGGAAUUACUGGGCGUAAAGAGCGCGCAGGCGGUUGGAUAAGUCGAAUGUGAAAGCCCCCGGCUUAACUGGGGAGGGUCAUUCGAUACUGUUCAACUUGAAGGCAGGAGAGGGCAGCAGAAUUCCCGGUGUAGUGGUGAAAUGCGUAGAUAUCGGGAGGAAUACCAGUGGCGAAGGCGGCUGCCUGGCCUGUUCUUGACGCUGAGGCGGCGAAAGCUGGGGGAGCAAACGGG
rnacentral:rRNA from 1 species